ACGGAGGACUAAGAAAGUAGUUCCUAGCAAGUUACUUGGAUGCUACUGAUACUAUCCUCCAACAGAAAGUGGUAGACGAACAGGCCUGGUUGCAAGCAAUACUCAGGACCUACUCAGUUUACCCACACUU